UAACAAACUAAAAUGAAUUUUAUUAUUAAUAAUGAGUCCUGAUUGGCACAAGGUGUGUCAAACAAUUACAAAACAACAACAGUUUAUAUCAUAACGUACGCAGGACCUAUGUUUUUACUCUUAUUAAUAAAAUUUCCAGUUUUUAACUAUUUUUUGUGAACUUAUAUUUAUACUCAUAUAUUAAUAUACGAUGACCUGAUCUUUUGUGUGGUUUAU
rnacentral:lncRNA from 1 species